rnacentral:rRNA from 1 species
GACGAACGCUGGCGGCGCGCUUAACACAUGCAAGUCGAGCGAAGCGGCGGACGGGUGAGUAACACGUGAGUAACCUGCCUUAGACAUUGGGAUAGCCUCGGGAAACCGGGAUUAAUACCAAAUGGUCUAAGAUGGACUCGCGUCCCAUUAGCUAGUUGGUGAGGUAACGGCCCACCAAGGCGACGAUGGGUAGCCGGCCUAGGAGGGUGAACGGCCACAUUGGAACGGAGAAACGGUCCAAGCUCUACGGGAGGCAGCAGUGGGGAAUAUUGCACAAGGGAGGGAACUCUGAUGCGGGGACGCCGCGUGAACGAAGAAGGCUUUCGAGUUGUAAACCUCUUUCGAUACAGAACGGGUAUGUGCAGAAGAAGCGCCGGCUAACUACGUGCCAGCCGCCGCGGUAAUAC